rnacentral:rRNA from 1 species
CCUACGGGGUGCUGCAGUGGGGAAUCUUGCGCAAUGCUCGUAAGAGUGACGCAGCGACGCCGCGUGAAUGACGAAGGCCUUCGGGUCGUAAAGUUCUUUCGACAGGGAAGAAAAUGCCUAUAAGUAACUGUGUAUGUAUUGACGGUACCUGUAUAAGCAGCCCCGGCUAACUCCGUGCCAGCAGCCGCGGUAAUACGGAGGGGGCGAGCGUUGUUCGGAGGGACUGGGCGUAAAGAGCACGUAGGCGGUGUUGUAAGUCAUUAGUCAAAGACUAGAGCUCAACUUUAGUAAGGCUAGUGAUACUAUAAUACUAGAGUAUCAGAGAGGAUUGCAGAAUUCCUGGUGUAGCGGUGAAAUGCGUAGAUAUCAGGAGGAAUACCGUUAGCGAAGGCGGCAAUCUGGCUGGAAACUGACGCUGAGGUGCGAAAGCGUGGGUAGCAAACAGGAUUAGAUACCCCGGUAGUC